rnacentral:rRNA from 1 species
GAUGAACGCUGGCGGCGUGCCUAAUACAUGCAAGUCGAGCGAACGGACGAGAAGCUUGCUUCUCUGAUGUUAGCGGCGGACGGGUGAGUAACACGUGGAUAACCUACCUAUAAGACUGGGAUAACUCCGGGAAACCGGAGCUAAUACCGGAUAAUAUUUUGAACCGCAUGGUUCAAAAGUGAAAGACGGUCUUGCUGUCACUUAUAGAUGGAUCCGCGCUGCAUUAGCUAGUUGGUAAGGUAACGGCUUACCAAGGCAACGAUGCAUAGCCGACCUGAGAGGGUGAUCGGCCACACUGGAACUGAGACACGGUCCAGACUCCUACGGGAGGCAGCAGUAGGGAAUCUUCCGCAAUGGGCGAAAGCCUGACGGAGCAACGCCGCGUGAGUGAUGAAGGUCUUCGGAUCGUAAAACUCUGUUAUUAGGGAAGAACAUAUGUGUAAGUAACUGUGCACAUCUUGACGGUACCUAAUCAGAAAGCCACGGCUAACUACGUGCCAGCAGCCGCGGUAAUACGUAGGUGGCAAGCGUUAUCCGGAAUUAUUGGGCGUAAAGCGCGCGUAGGCGGUUUUUUAAGUCUGAUGUGAAAGCCCACGGCUCAACCGUGGAGGGUCAUUGGAAACUGGAAAACUUGAGUGCAGAAGAGGAAAGUGGAAUUCCAUGUGUAGCGGUGAAAUGCGCAGAGAUAUGGAGGAACACCAGUGGCGAAGGCGACUUUCUGGUCUGUAACUGACGCUGAUGUGCGAAAGCGUGGGGAUCAAACAGGAUUAGAUACCCUGGUAGUCCACGCCGUAAACGAUGAGUGCUAAGUGUUAGGGGGUUUCCGCCCCUUAGUGCUGCAGCUAACGCAUUAAGCACUCCGCCUGGGGAGUACGACCGCAAGGUUGAAACUCCAAGGAAUUGACGGGGACCCGCACAAGCGGUGGAGCAUGUGGUUUAAUUCGAAGCAACGCGAAGAACCUUACCAAAUCUUGACAUCCUUUGACAACUCUAGAGAUAGAGCCUUCCCCUUCGGGGGACAAAGUGACAGGUGGUGCAUGGUUGUCGUCAGCUCGUGUCGUGAGAUGUUGGGUUAAGUCCCGCAACGAGCGCAACCCUUAAGCUUAGUUGCCAUCAUUAAGUUGGGCACUCUAAGUUGACUGCCGGUGACAAACCGGAGGAAGGUGGGGAUGACGUCAAAUCAUCAUGCCCCUUAUGAUUUGGGCUACACACGUGCUACAAUGGACAAUACAAAGGGCAGCGAAACCGCGAGGUCAAGCAAAUCCCAUAAAGUUGUUCUCAGUUCGGACUGUAGUCUGCAACUCGACUACAUGAAGCUGGAAUCGCUAGUAAUCGUAGAUCAGCAUGCUACGGUGAAUACGUUCCCGGGUCU